UACCGUCUCAGCCACCAAGGAAGCCCAAAGUGUGCAAUAGCCAUUUCUUUAAGGGGUAUGACCUGGAACUAGCACACUAUCGCUUUUGCUGCCAUUCUAUUGUCAAGAACUUAGUCAUAAGGGCACAGCUAGCUGCAGGUGAAUUUCGGAAAUAGAGUCUCCAGCUGAAAAGCAGAGUCUUCAGCUAUGACUCAGGAGUUUUAAUAUUAAAGAAAAAGGGGCAGAAUAGAUAUAUGUAGACAACUCAUCAUCUCUCUUGCAAUGACUAGUGAUUCCUCAAUUAUAACCAGCUCCCCAUCCCUUUCAUUAUUUCCAGUAUGUCACCAAGUCCAAGUCCGAAGGAAAUGACCUGGAAAACAGGAACUUCUGCCCUCAAAGAUGCUAUUCAAAUGACAACCCAAGGCAUUUCAAGACUGCUUCUAGAGUCAAGAAUAUGAAGUGCAUCCUCUUCCUCUAACGUCUUGCUAACAUUCACUAAUUUCUGUUGCCAGCGCACACUGGGAUAUGAAGUUCAAACAGCUUCCCAAGAGUGAACAGGAAGAACUCUCUAAUUCUUGAUCCUGCUGUGCUGCAAAGGAGGAAUCACUCGGGAUGCCAUCAGAGCAAAGCCAAUCUGUUCUCAAGCCCACGGGUUCACUCAGAGGGGCCUGAACACCUGUGUCUGCUGUAGCCCAUCAGGCUCCUCUGUCCAUGGAAUUCUCGAGGCAAGAAUACUGG